rnacentral:sRNA from 1 species
GGGAAGCUGAAACAGCAGGAAAGCAUGGAGGUGGCUCUCCACUAACUGGAGCCAACCUCAUUCAAUCCUGAAACGUGGUUGAAAGCUGACUCUGUGCCAGGCCCUAAUCAGUGUGCUGAGAAUGAAACAGAAGUCUGCUCUCUCAGAGCUUACCUCCUCCCGAGAGAAGACAGACAAUGAGCAAGUAACCCUAGGGUGGACAGAAGAGGCCUCCUGAUAAAGUGACAUUUGAGCAGACACCUGAAGGAGGUGAGGAAGAGAGCCCUGCAGAUACCCAGGGGAAGAGCUGAAAAGUACAAGCAACAGCGAAUGCAAAGGUCCUGAGGCAGGAGCGUGCUUGACUUGGCACAAGAACAGCAAACACCAAGCAGAAUGCCUGGCCUGUAUUAGACCCCGUAAACGCCUGAACUACAUACAUGGCAGAGAUGAAGCACACAGUCUCGGAAAUCUGGCUGUGCAGGUUCAAAUUCCAGUUCUCCUACUUAUCUCUUGGUGAUAAUAGAGUGACAUCCUUCAGAGACCUCAUUCAUGACCAAGAUGAAGAUGAGGAGGAGGAGGAAGGCCAGAGGUGCCAAAGAGCAUGGAGCUGUAGCUGUGGAGCGAGUGACCAAGAGCCCUGGAGAGACCAGUAAACCGAGACCAUUUGCAGGAGGUGGCUACCGCCUUGGGGCAGCACCAGAGGAAGAGUCUGCCUAUGUGGCAGGAGAAAAGAGGCAGCAUUCCAGCCAAGAUGUUCAUGUAGUAUUGAAACUC